rnacentral:rRNA from 1 species
UACGGAGGAUGCGAGCGUUAUCCGGACUUAUUGGGUUUAAAGGGUGCGUAGGCGGACGCUUAAGUCAGCGGUAAAAUUGCGGGGCUCAACCUCGUCGAGCCGUUGAAACUGGGUGUCUUGAGUGGGCGAGAAGUACGCGGAAUGCGUGGUGUAGCGGUGAAAUGCAUAGAUAUCACGCAGAACUCCGAUUGCGAAGGCAGCGUACCGGCGCCCAACUGACGCUGAAGCACGAAGGCGUGGGUAUCGAACAGG